AAGCAUCCAGAUACCAGAAGGCGGGCAUUCCAUACAUUGCUGAUAAUGCAAGUAGUGACAAAUGGGCCUGGGUGUUUUUUGAGGCAAACGUUGAUGUCCCUAUGACUGCUGAGAUAGUUGCUAAAGCGGGGAAGAGAGAGAGAGAUAUUGUAAAAGUCACCAUCAAGUGGGAACGAUCAGAUUGGUGACAGCCUGCUGAUUUCUGUCAAGAUCAACAUGAACUCAUCAAAUUGGUUACAAUAUGUGAACCUGUUGUUGACCCAAUAACCUUUUGGCCCUGGUAUGGCCAGCACUUCGUUUGCAGGCCAUGUGGUACCUAUUGAUUUGUCAACCUGGAAGUUAGGUUCAAGUCCCUUUGUAGGGUUUGGUUUGGUUUGGUUUGGUUUGGUUUUCAGCAGGGGGUGGGUCUGGUCUGGUUUGGUUUGGUUUCCAAUGGUGUGCCAUAACAGUAAACAUGGCAUAGACAAAAAGACAGCAAAGUAGACAGAAAGACCUAAUUGUGGCUACUUAAGAGCAUCUGCAUCAGGCUCUCUACAAUAGCUUUGAAGCUAUUGUAGACCAUCAGCAUCAAAUCCUUCCUCCAUCAGUCUCAACAAUUUUUUUGUAAAUUAACGUUUUGUUAAAUUUGCUACAGUACCUCAACAAAAAUAAAGAGGCACUGUCCAUUAGCUACAUUAUUUUUUAUUAUAUUUUCUAGAGCAAAUUUGGGCAAAAAUCUUUAAACCAGUCGUCCACCCGGAUAUCCUACCGGGUGUUCCGUGAGUGCUUGUAGCAGAAGAAGAAAAAUGUCGAAAAUUAGCCUAACCGGUCGACCAGCCGGUUGACUGGUCAAAGACAUUUUUUUUUUUUUUUUGGCAUUUUUUAAGAAUUGUUUUGUGACACCUCAUCAAUUUA